rnacentral:rRNA from 1 species
AGAGUUUGAUCCUGGCUCAGGAUGAACGCUAGCUACAGGCUUAACACAUGCAAGUCGAGGGGCAGCAUGGGAUUAGCUUGCUAAUCCUGAUGGCGACCGGCGCACGGGUGAGUAACGCGUAUCCAACCUUCCCCCUGCUCAGGGAUAGCCCGCUGAAAGGCGGAUUAACACCUGAUAGCUUCACUAGAUGGCAUCUGACGGUGAAUAAAGAUAACGGCAAGGGAUGGGGAUGCGUCUGAUUAGCUUGUUGGCGGGGUAACGGCCCACCAAGGCGACGAUCAGUAGGGGUUCUGAGAGGAAGGUCCCCCACAUUGGAACUGAGACACGGUCCAAACUCCUACGGGAGGCAGCAGUAGGGAAUAUUGGGCAAUGGUCGGAAGACUGACCCAGCCAUGCCGCGUGAAGGAAUACGGCCCUAUGGGUCUUAAACUUCUUUUAUCGCAGAGUAACCGCGGGGACGCGUCCCUGCCUGCAAGUAUGCGAUGAAUAAGUAUCGGCUAACUCCGUGCCAGCAGCCGCGGUAAUACGGAGGAUACGAGCGUUAUCCGGAUUUAUUGGGUUUAAAGGGUGCGCAGGCGGGCGAUUAAGUCAGCGGUGAAAGGCUCGGGCUCAACCGGAGCAGUGCCGUUGAUACUGGUUGUCUUGAAUGCGGUCAAGGCCGGCGGAAUGUGGCGUGUAGCGGUGAAAUGCAUAGAUAUGCCACAGAACACCGAUAGCGAAGGCAGCUGGCCGGGCCUGCAUUGACGCUCAGGCACGAAAGCGUGGGGAUCGAACAGGAUUAGAUACCCUGGUAGUCCACGCUGU